UAGAAGCUGAUUUUGAAUUGUUCUCUGUAGUUUUUACUAUUACUCUAACGAAAAACAUCCCGAUGCUGAGAGUCUGUGCAACAGGUGAGCUGAUUAUCACAGACAUAAAUGGAAACAGGAUUGUCCAGGCUGCAGCCAACAAGUAAAGAGGAUGUUUUGAAUUUUACUGCCUCGAAGCUUAGUGUUGGGCUCACCGUAGAGCUCGGAGGAAAAGCUUUGGGGCUCUGUUGCUGCUCUGCAUCCAGCUGCCCAUCAAAGUCAUUAGGUGCUUCUUGGGAGUUAUCAAGAGUUCCUUCACUAUAAACCCAUGUCAUCCGUGGUUUCUCUGUGCGCAUGCACGUGCCUUUUGAUGGAGAUGCAAAUCUGGAGUCAAGCUCUUCCAAGGACGGAACUGAACCAAAGAUGCAGCUGAAAGAGGUUUCUCUGACAAACAGCAGGUUCUACUUCCAGGCCUGCAGGGACACGCACUGUUUUGCUGUGUAAAUAAGUUAGUAGUAAAUCUUACCAAAGUCCACAAACCACUGUCUGCAUGGAGAACUCAAAUCUUGGAUCAUAAAGCUCUUAGAUCUCUCCUGUGCCUCAGUUUCCUCUAAACCAGGCUUGUCUACCCAUGCAGCUGAGAGGUUAAGGUUAUUGGAGGAUGGUGAGUGCCGAUGAUCUGCCUCCUGGACUGGGAACUGCUCUAAGUUUAACACUAACACAUCUACAACAUGCCUGCAAAGACUGGCUGCAAGCCCUGGAUCUAAGGGUCAUGUUCAAAGAGCAGGACUUAAGUCGGAGUUCUUAGCGGCAUAGAAGAUGGCUGACUAAACAUUACCAUGUUAUUUAAUCGCUCAAGGAAUUUACUGGACAAGAUUGAUACAGGCAGAGAGCCCUAGGACAAGCCCAUUGCCUCCAGUGACAUCCUUCUAACGAGCAAGGCUAUCAGUACAGAAAUUUCUGCAAUCGGGGAUGCCUGGGCCGCUUUGGUUGUAUUUGGGUAACGACACAUGACAGUCCCUGGAAAGCACUUUGGAGCUCAGACACAGAGCAGUUGUGGUGCAGUGAUGUUCUUAAAUACGAAGCUGGAAAUGCGGCGGUGCCAGACGAGGCAAUUUGGUCUGUCCUGGGGCUCGGCCUGCAGCAGCUCUGUCCCUCCUGCCUCCCAGCAAGGCAAGAAAACAAGCAUGCACAGACUAGAUGUUCUGGAGAUGCAAAGUCUUUCCACUUCCUUCCUCCCCUGAUGUCUUCAAAACCGUGCUUUGUAUCCAUGUUGCCGUAUAUUGAGUUUAAGCGCACGGUCUCACAAAGGGGACGUGAUUUUGCACAUUGUAUUUUUAUUCAACAGUAAUCCUGCGUGUGGCCUGCUGUGGUGGUUGAUCAAACUGGUGUUCGAAGGUCCUCGUGCAACU